UACGUAGGGUGCGAGCGUUAAUCGGAAUUACUGGGCGUAAAGUGUGCGCAGGCGGCCGCGCAAGUCGAGUGUGAAAAUCCCCGAGCUUAACUUGGGAAUUGCGCUCGAAACUACGUGGCUGGAGUGUGGCAGAGGAAGGUGGAAUUCCACGUGUAGCGGUGAAAUGCGUAGAUAUGUGGGGGGAACACCGAUGGCGAAGGCAGCCUUCUGGGCCAACACUGACGCUCAUGCACGAAAGCGUGGGGAGCAAACAGG
rnacentral:rRNA from 1 species